CUCCUGUUUAGUGCCAACCUUUAUGCUAAGAGAUUGGACACAAGCCAACAUAUUUCAACAAAUAAGAUAUACGUAUCAGCUGGCACUAACUGAUUGGUAGCCACGUUUGUUGGUGAUUGGUUACCACAGCGAGGGCUUUUAUCUCUGAGAAGGAUAGUAGUCACCUAAUAACGGGACAGGGACUGACCAGUGAUCACUGCAGAGUGCAUGCAUGAGCCGCGGAGCCCACGCCUUACACUACAACAUCGUUCGAUGACAGCUACUGGACAGCUAUAGGAGGAGCGUCAGAUCAUGGCGCAGCCUGCGAAACGAGGCAACUCAUCCUAGAAUCUGGAUUUCACUUAACAUUCAUGAACUUUGAUUGCCAUGUGGACAGUAAUCACACCAUGGAAAUGAACAAGUCUUAAGUAACGUUCCAAAUGUUCUCGGACACAGUGAUAUCUGGCAUCCCAAGCAGUGCCUAUCUUUAUGGAACCUAUUUAUGAUGACUAUUACCUGAUACCGAUGCUAUCUGGUGGACCAUGGCCUCAUCAGCUCCUUGUCGGAUGAACAGAAGUGACCCGAGACCCAAGAACUAUUCAAAUUAGCAAAUAUUAUUACGCCACCUGCCAGGCAACACAGUUAUUCACGUUCUUUUAUGGGGAUCGGUAUGAAAUACCUACAAUCAAAAUCCAGACAGUUGAAAUCCCGACAAGGUCAAAAUACCGACAUUUAAAAUACCGACAAGGUCAAAAUACCGACAUGUAAAAUGACGACAGGUCAAAAUACCGACAUGAGGUUUUCAUUGUUUUUUGGUGUGGCACACUUAUAUAGGUCGACAUGGACACCAUAUAAGUGUGCCGCGUCCCCUCGCCAUGCUUCGGGCACACUAUUAUAUUCCCCCUCCAGGUCCACUGGGAUGGUAAAGUAUGAACAAGUCGGUUUCAAUGAAAAAAUCAUGAAAAACUCAUGUUCGGCAUUUUGACCUGUUGACAUUUUACAUGUCGGUAUUUUGACCUUGUCGGUAUUUUAAAUGUUGGUAUUUUGUCCAUGUCGGGAUUUUGACCUUGUCAGGAUUUGACCGUCGGUCAAAUGCUGUCGGGAUUUCGACCGUCGGGAUUUUGAUUGUCGGUAAAUUGACUGCAUCCCUUUUAUGCCACCCUGAAACUUCCCCUUCAUUACCCAAUUAGCAAAUGGCAUCCUUCUCUGAUAAUUAUGUACGCCUUGUGUGUAAAUGAUUAAUUAAUGUAUGAUGACUACGUGAAAUUAAGCACAUCUAUAUAUAUACUGUGGGUAUGGGAUGAUAGAUAGACAGUGUCUAGUUAGACAGUCAAUAGAUAGACACCACAUGUUAGACAGACAUUAGGUCGACAGGGUCAAAAGGUCGACAUGAAAAUGGUCAACACAAAAAAGGUAGACACCAUUUUUUUGCAUUUUUGUGGUUUGUGUGGAUAGUUUUAUCAUCUGGGACCCCCAAUUGUAGAAAGGCAUACCCUUGUGUGGCUCGCCACAAGGUUUAUAUCCAACUCUGUGCCGACAUGGAUAGAGAAGGUAUGAAAUAGUCCAAAAACAUGUAAUUAAAAAA